rnacentral:lncRNA from 1 species
GGAUGGGCUUCACUUUGACAUCCUCUCCACCCUCCACUCACUUCCUGUGCUGGCACUGUCUCUGUCUCCCAGUGUCUUGUCCCUGGCUCUGCCUGGCCCUCCCAACUAGGAAUAGAGCACCCAGUUCAGUCUACCACAGCAGACUCCAUGCCCUAAUGGGUCUGCAUCUUGUUUUGAAGAUUACAUGUGUAGAUACGUAGAGGACUUAGAACAGCAUUCAGCAUAUGUUUUGCUCAGGAAGAGAAGCUCUUUGGAUCCUGAAGGAUACUGCCAGGAGAUAUAUAAAGAAGUGGCUCUGAAGACAGAAGGAGUAGACUGUGUGGACACUGUAAUGGACUGCCCAGAUUCCACUUUAGGAAUGAAGGACUCGCCGCCACCACCACCCGGCUGCCGGAGCACUGCCAACAGGCAGUCCUAGGAUGUUAGUCCUCUCUGGAAAUGGCCUCCGCUGAUGAGAGUGACCUCACCCAUGGUCAUGACCUCCUUUCUAGAGCAGCUCACUUUGAAUGACUGAUCAGCGUGGGAAUAUAAAUGCUCAGUCCCUUCACCCCAACUCAGGACAUCUCAGAAGGCUCAUCCCAGCUUCUGAGCUCCCACAUGUCCUCUGAGGCCUCAGCUGAGAUUGCCUCGCAGCUUACUGUCUCCCUCAGCCAAAACCACUUCUGUCCCGUCUCUUCUACUGGUGGUGAUCCCAAAAAUCUCUCCAUUUUGAGAUCUGCUUCCCAGAAAAUUCAACCUUCAACACGCUGACCUUUCCUUCUUGAAAUUCCCCUGCCCCUUAAUUUUCAGACGCUGAAUUUCUUCAGUCUCUCUGAUGGCUUCCACCUUCAUCCAGGACCUCCUUCUCUUCCUCCCACUCCUCAAGAGUAAAUGUGGCCUACUUUUAGUCACCUUUCCUUGGAAGAGAGGAUUUCUGACAACAGGAUGCUACCUGCUAGCAGAAGAUUUAACCCCCACCUGCAUAAACAGAUUGCUCUUCUAUAUUUUACAUUCCCUAGACGUAAAGCACCAAUUUUUCUUUUCUAUCCCCAGGAAAUACAAUAUUGGUUAACAUAAGUAAUAUGUAUGGCAAACAGUCUUAGCAAAUCAAGAAGGUCCUAGAAGUUUUUCUAAUUCGUCACAAAAAUUUACAUUUUGUAAUGUUAUCUUCUCCCCCUCAUUGCUGCUCCAGACACACACACACACACACACACACACACACACACACACACACACCACUACCUUUUGUCACAAGAAUAAGGCAAAACACAUGCCCACAAAAAAUAUAUGUGAAUUCCAUCUUACUGCCCAUCUUUCAGCCCAUUGCCUGAUAACUCUCAGCCUCUGGGGAGCAGGACCAAUUCCUGUUCUUCAGUUCACAGUUAUUCUCUGAUCCUGUAUGACCAACAGGAUCUUAGAAGGUUAAUGGGUGGUACAAUGUAUGGGAAACAUGAUGAUCUGAGGGCAAAGAGACCUGGAUUUCAGGCAUGAUUAUGCCACUGAUGAGCCAUUCUAUUUUUUUUUUUUUUUUUGAAACAGAGUUUCACUCUUGUCAACCAGACUAGAGUGCAAUGGCGCAAUCUCGGCUCACUGCAACCUCCACCUCCCAGGUUCAAGUGAUUCUCCUGCCUCAGCCUCCAGAGUAGCUGGGAUUACAGGCACCCACCACCACGCCUGGCUAAUAUUUUUGUAUUUUUAAUAGAAAUGGGGUUUCACCAUGUUGGCCAGACUGGUCUCAAACUCCUGACCUCAGGUGAUCUUCCCACCUCGGCCUCCCAAAGCGCUGGGAUUACAGGCCACUGCGCCCAGCUCUAGAGCCAUUCUUAAGCAAGGUCUUUGUUUCCCCACUUAUAGAAGUAGGAGAAGAGUCCUUGACUGACCAACCUUCUUCCUAGGUCCAUCAACAAGCUAAAGUAAAAACUUACAUGUGGCAGUUAAUAGAAGGAGACACAGCCAUAAUGACAAAUUUCCCUUUGGGUUUUCUCUUCUGAUGCACAUGCUGCCUAAAAGAAACAUCUAGAGCUAAGCAAGUGCAUGGGAGUGUGGUUCAGGGAUCCCAGGCCUCCUCAGAGCCCUCAGGUGACUCACCAGGGAGGGGGUCCAGAGCACUAAGCCCCUGCUUAGGCCUUCCACUGCCUCUCUCCUCUGCUCUAAGAGGCCAAAAUAGGGCUGCUAUACCAGGAGCUGCUUCUCCAUGCUCCUGAGAGAUCUGUAAGAACACUGUCUGCCUCUGAAUCUCCCUCUCAUUUGGUUUACUUUUGGGUGCCUGCUCUGAGAUGUUCAGCCUUUACAAGGUUCACGUGUGUCAUUCCAGUGAGAGCGCUAGUGGAGAUUAUCACUUGCCAUGCUGACCCCUACCCCAAGCCAAGGCUAAUGCACCUCCUGCAGAGGGACCUGCCCUUUAUUUCCAUUGGAAGAAAGAGAAGACACAGCGUUAGUGACUAGAGCCCAGGAGGAUGACGCUUUGUGGGGCAGGUGCAUGGGAGAUGUCACCCCUUGCUAUUGUCUCAAUGUUAUGUACCCCAAAAUUCAUAUGUUGUAACCUAAGAUCCAAUGCAAUAGUAUUAAGAGACAGAGGCCGGGCAUGGUGUCUCACGCCUGUAAUCCCACCACUUUGGGAGGCUGAGGAGGGCAGAUCACAAGGUCAGGAGAUCAAGACCAUCCUGGCUAACAUAGUGAAACCCCGUCUCGACUAAAAAUACAAAAAAAUUAGCUGGGUGUGGUGGUGGGCACCUGUAAUCCCAGCCACUCAGGAGGCUGAGGCAGGAAAAUGGUGUGAACCCAGGAGGCAUAGCUUGGAGUGCAGUGAGCUGAGAUUGCGCCACUGCACUCCAGCCUGGGCAACAAGUGAGACUCCAUCUCAAAAAAAAAAAAAAAAGACAGAGGUUUUAGGGGGUGAUUAGGUCAUGAGGACUCUACUCUCAUGAGUGGGAUUAGUGCCGUGAUAAAAGAGGCCUGUAGUCCCAGCUACUCUAGGAGGUUGAGGUAGCAGGAUCACUUGAGCCCGGGAGGUUGAGGCUGUGGUGAGCUAUGACUGUGCCACCGUACUCCAGUCUGGGUGAGAGAGAGAGACCCUGUCUCAAAACAAAGAGGCCUGAGGGAGCUUAUUGGCCCCUUCUACCACGUGAAGACAAAGGGCCAUCUAUGAGGAACAGGCCCUCAGCAGAUGCCAAAUCCACCAGUGCCUUGAUCUUGGACUUCCCAGCCUCCAAAACUGUGAACAAUAAAUUUCUAUUGUUUCUAAACCCACACUUAAGUAUUUUGUUACAGCAACAGGAUUGGACAAAGACACCAUGUGGUUGGAGAAGGAUUUUCUACCCUCCAAUUUGGCUGAGUUGAGGGUGGGGAGAUAACACUCAGUGGGAUUUCUAGAGAUUUG